rnacentral:rRNA from 1 species
UACGGGGGGGGGUUAGUGUUAUUCAUCAUUACUGGGUGUAAAGCGCGCGUAGACGGUUUAAAAAGUUUUAAUUUAAAAACAAUCUAAAGCGUAACUUAGAAAAUUAAAUUUUUCAUUACUUUUAAACUUUGAGGUUGAAGGAAGAAAAGCUAUACUUCUCAGAAAAAAAGUGAAAUUUGUCCGAACUGAGGGGGAUAACCAGCAGGCGAAAGCGGCUUUCUAUGACAAUGCUGACGUUUUUGGCGCAAAAGCUUGGGGAUCAAACGGG